rnacentral:rRNA from 1 species
GACGGAAGGUGCAAGCGUUGCUCGGAAUCACUGGGCGUAAAGGGUGCGUAGGCGGCUUGGUGGGUCUGGUGUGAAAGCCCCGGGCUCAGCCCGGGAAGGGCGCUAGAAACUGCCGAGCUCGAGUGCCGGAGGGGAGAGUGGAAUUCCAGGUGUAGCGGUGAAAUGCGUAGAUAUCUGGAGGAACACCGGUGGCGAAGGCGGCAUCCUGGACCGGUAUUGACACUGAGGCGCGAAAGCCAGGGGAGCAAACGGG